UACGAAGGACCCAAGCGUUAUCCGGAUUUAUUGGGUUUAAAGGGUGCGUAGGCGGGAUAGUAAGUCAGUGGUGAAAUCCUGUAGCUUAACUACAGAACUGCCAUUGAUACUGCUAACCUUGAGUACAGUUGAUGUGGGCGGAAUAUGACAUGUAGCGGUGAAAUGCAUAGAUAUGUCAUAGAACACCGAUUGCGAAGGCAGCUGACAAAACUGUAACUGACGCUGAGGCACGAAAGUGUGGGGAUCAAACAGG
rnacentral:rRNA from 1 species